rnacentral:rRNA from 1 species
CUUUGAUCAUGGCUCAGGAUGAACGCUAGCUACAGGCUUAACACAUGCAAGUCGAGGGGCAGCAUGAACUUAGCUUGCUAAGUUUGAUGGCGACCGGCGCACGGGUGAGUAACACGUAUCCAACCUUCCGUUUACUCAGGGAUAGCCUUUCGAAAGAAAGAUUAAUACCUGAUAGUAUGGUGAGAUUGCAUGAUAGCACCAUUAAAGAUUUAUUGGUAAACGAUGGGGAUGCGUUCCAUUAGGUAGUAGGCGGGGUAACGGCCCACCUAGCCGACGAUGGAUAGGGGUUCCGAGAGGAAGGUCCCCCACAUUGGAACUGAGACACGGUCCAAACUCCUACGGGAGGCAGCAGUGAGGAAUAUUGGUCAAUGGGCGAGAGCCUGAACCAGCCAAGUAGCGUGAAGGAUGAAGGUCCUACGGAUUGUAAACUUCUUUUAUACGGGAAUAAAGUAUCCUACGUGUAGGAUUUUGUAUGUACCGUAUGAAUAAGCAUCGGCUAACUCCGUGCCAGCAGCCGCGGUAAUACGGAGGAUGCGAGCGUUAUCCGGAUUUAUUGGGUUUAA